rfam:Daucus carota subsp. sativus cultivar DH1 chromosome 1, whole genome shotgun sequence.
AUGGAAAUGAUGAGUAUUUCCCCAGAUGAUCGAAGUUGAAAUUACUGAGCGCUAUAUAUUGAUUUUUUUCUAUUUGAGAAAAAUCCAAGCCAGAUCUCUGAUCCAU